rnacentral:rRNA from 1 species
GACGAACGCUGGCGGCGUGCUUAACACAUGCAAGUCGAACGAUGAAGCAAAGACUCGAAGCUUCGGCAGAAAUUCAUUUCGGAUUAGUGGCAGACGGGUGAGUAACGCGUGAGCAACCUACCUCUUACAAAGGGAUAGCCCCGGGAAACCGGGAUUAAUACCAUAUAACAUUGUGACGAAGCAUUUCGAUGCAAUCAAAGCUACGGCGGUAAGAGAUGGGCUCGCGUCCCAUUAACCGGAUGGUGAGGUAACGGCUCACCAUAGUGACGAUGGGUAACCGGCCUGAGAGGGUGAACGGUCACACUGGAACUGAGACACGGUCCAGACUCCUACGGGAGGCAGCAGUGGGGAAUAUUGCACAAUGGAGGGAACUCUGAUGCAGCGACGCCGCGUGAGUGAUGAAGGAAUUCGUUUCGUAAAACUCUGUUCUAUGGGAAGAAAAGGACUGUACCAUAGGAGAAAGCUCCGGCUAAAUACGU